UGGCGGCAUGCCUUACACAUGCAAGUCGAACGGCAGCACGGAGCUUGCUCUGGUGGCGAGUGGCGAACGGGUGAGUAAUAUAUCGGAACGUACCCUGGAGUGGGGGAUAACGUAGCGAAAGUUACGCUAAUACCGCAUACGAUCUAAGGAUGAAAGUGGGGGAUCGCAAGACCUCAUGCUCGUGGAGCGGCCGAUAUCUGAUUAGCUAGUUGGUAGGGUAAAAGCCUACCAAGGCAUCGAUCAGUAGCUGGUCUGAGAGGACGACCAGCCACACUGGAACUGAGACACGGUCCAGACUCCUACGGGAGGCAGCAGUGGGGAAUUUUGGACAAUGGGCGAAAGCCUGAUCCAGCAAUGCCGCGUGAGUGAAGAAGGCCUUCGGGUUGUAAAGCUCUUUUGUCAGGGAAGAAACGGUGAGAGCUAAUAUCUCUUGCUAAUGACGGUACCUGAAGAAUAAGCACCGGCUAACUACGUGCCAGCAGCCGCGGUAAUACGUAGGGUGCAAGCGUUAAUCGGAAUUACUGGGCGUAAAGCGUGCGCAGGCGGUUUUGUAAGUCUGAUGUGAAAUCCCGGGCUCAACCUGGGAAUUGCAUUGGAGACUGCAAGGCUAAAAUCUGG
rnacentral:rRNA from 1 species